rnacentral:rRNA from 1 species
AGUGAACGCUGGCGGUAGGCCUAACACAUGCAAGUCGAACGGCAGCACAGUAAGAGCUUGCUCUUACGGGUGGCGAGUGGCGGACGGGUGAGGAAUACAUCGGAAUCUACUUUUUCGUGGGGGAUAACGUAGGGAAACUUACGCUAAUACCGCAUACGACCUACGGGUGAAAGCAGGGGAUCUUCGGACCUUGCGCGAUUGAAUGAGCCGAUGUCGGAUUAACUAGUUGGCGGGGUAAAGGCCCACCAAGGCGACGAUCCGUAGCUGGUCUGAGAGGAUGAUCAGCCACACUGGAACUGAGACACGGUCCAGACUCCUACGGAAGGCAGCAGUGGGGAAUAUUGGACAAUGGGCGCAAGCCUGAUCCAGCCAUACCGCGUGGGUGAAGAAGGCCUUCGGGUUGUAAAGCCCUUUUGUUGGGAAAGAAAAGCAGCAGGUUAAUACCCCGCUGUUCUGACGGUACCCAAAGAAUAAGCACCGGCUAACUUCGUG